GGGGCCCGAAAUGAGGCCGCCACGCCCCAUCUGGCAGUGGCGACAACAUAUGAAAUAUCUGCAGCCCUGGCACUUUUAGAAAAAAAGUGGCUCCGAUCUGACCAAAUUUUGCACAGGCUGUCUGACGUGUCAAGUCUAAGACCAUCCUGAGCUGGGAUGUCCAUGCCGGCCCAAAGAAAUUCUAGACAUCUUGGAUAAAAUUUGACCACGUGACCUUAUUCUAGGCCUGGCCAACUACCUGUGUUCCAAAUUUGGGGUCUCUGGGACGUUUCUGUGAGAAGUUAUGGACUUUUGAAUGUUGGAAAAAUAUGUGUCCCAAUUGUCAAUUUUGACAUAAGGGACACCUGGCGACCUUUUGAAAUUUGGGCAGGUAUUUGGGCACCUUGGAAUGCACCCAGGGACACCAAAUUGAUGUCAGGUGUUCACUGUUACACCUAAUUUCAGGCACUGAAAGCUGCAGCCGUCGAACUGCUGUUUAAGGUGUAGGAAUCUGGCCAAAUGACCUCAAUGAGGCCUUCUGAACCGUGAGGGUCCAUUUGGGGAACUUUCUGACAAUUGAGUUGACAAAUGGAAUCAUGGUAGCAGUGGUCGGGGGAGGCUGAGGAGGCCCUGAUGGAGUGCUACAGGACAAUGGACUGGGAAAUGUUCCAACAGGAUCACGGUGACGACAUUGAGGGUCUGGCCCAAUGUGUCACUGACUACAUCAGGCAUGAAUGGGCCAGCAGGAGCAGCAGAGGGGACAAAGGACUGAGCCAACGUGUUAAACCAGUUUUUUCAACAGGUUUGACUCAACAGCGCUGGCUGGACCCCCCUCCUCCUCCACCUCCUCAAGUAGCAUCACCUCAGUUACCCCCCUCCACAUACCUCCCUGCUACACCAAAGGAUCACUCAGCAGCCCCAGGAGCUCCAUCAGCCACAGACUCAUCCGACCCCGCCUUAAAGAUCUUUGGAGGCUCAUUUGUGUCGUCAGCCAUCAGGCUCCACAACACCACAAACACCACGCAUGCCUUGUUGCUCAUUAAAGCUUCCCUCCAGUGUAUUUUGACAUUUCUAUAAUAUUUCAUCUUUUUCUGAGUCAUUUCCUUACAAUGUUGAUUAUCCACAUAGUUUGCCAAAUAUUUUUGACAAAUGGCUUAAUUUUGUGCUCAAAGUUGCAAAAAUUGCUUAGUUGCUAAAACGGAGUGGUGACGGGCUGGUGACAUAUAACUAUAGUAAUUCCAUAAGUCAUACGUCAUUCUCCAAGCUUGCGCACGCCAUCACGCCUCGUUAAGUCACCAUCAAAUCGAUAAACAUCGUUGUGAGCUAGUUAACCAAUUUAUCAUGUAUUUUACUUAGAAUUUACAGUAGGUAAUGUCUCUCUGUGUCAGUGUGUCUGAUUGUUGGUAAGUCUGUCUAGUUUAAUUAGCUAAGUUAACUAAGUUGUAGUUAGCCAGGUGUUGUUAGCUAGCAUAGGUAUUGCAGAAAGUUAGCUAACAGAGGGUCUAUUUUUUAGUUUCCUCCUCUUGGUUUAGUGUGCUGUUCAUUUUCAUUAUGGCAUCUGUGUGUUCGGUGUCUGUAAUCAGUGGUUGGAUGUCUAGGUUGGAGGAAAGAUGACAGAAAACGCGUCGCACUUUCACCUGCAACGGCCGUUUCACCAAUGCAUUGGCGAAGGCAAUGGUAUCAGAAGUCUGGAGCUGAGGAGCGAUGCCAUCAGCGUUGCUAAAACGAAAGAAAGGACCUGAAUCUGUGGUGGCCAGCCAAAUUUAAACAUCUGUACUCGACUGCAGCUUCUUCCACUCUAAUGGAGAUGUGAUGGUGAACCACGCUCAGAACAUCCAUGAACACAGCACGCUGGAACCAGUUACAACAUACCUUAUACGGUUUGUGGUUUAAAAAGAUUAGCGGCCGAGUCUUCAGUGGUGCUGGUUAGUGCCUGCUUUAAUUUGAUUUCAAUGCCUCCAGAAAUAAAAUAUUCUGUAGGUAAAUUUUCCCAGAUUGUGCAAAGAAUUAGAAUAAUUUUAUAAAUGGAAAUGUAUCACACCAACAUUUGUACUGAAGUAAAUUCUGUAAUAGUAAAGAUUCUGUUUUGAAACAGCCAUUUUGGAGAUUAAGACUAAAAACACAUGAACAAGACAUUUUACAAAUUACAAAAAAUAUUACUAUCUUCAUGAAUGUAUAAUUGCAUGGCUGUUUUACUGGACUGCAACAGUUUUAGCUUGGUGUACCUUAUUAACAGAAACUAGUAUUUAAUGUACAUGGAUAUUCUGUACAAACAAAAGCUAAUGCCACUUUUUAGUCACAAGCUGGUAGCGUUGGCUCACAAUAAAAGAAGAAUUUGGUCUUACAAA